rnacentral:rRNA from 1 species
AACGAACGCUGGCGGCGCGCUUAACACAUGCAAGUCGAACGAGAAGGCGUAGCAAUACGCUUGUACAGUGGCGAACGGGUGAGUAAUACGUGGGCGACCUACCCUCGAGUGGGGAAUAACCCGCCGAAAGGCGGGCUAAUGCCGCGUACGCUUCCAUCUUUAUGGAGGUGGAAGGAAAGCCGUGCCGUGGGCACGGCGCUCAAGGAUGGGCUCACGUCCUAUCAGCUUGNGGUAGGGUAACGGCCUACCAAGGCUCCGACGGGUAGCUGGUCUGAGAGGACGAUCAGCCACACUGGCACUGCGACACGGGCCAGACUCCUACGGGAGGCAGCAGUGAGGAAUAUUGCGCAAUGGGCGAAAGCCUGACGCAGCGACGCCGCGUGGGGGAUGAAGGUCUUCGGAUUGUAAACCCCUUUCGGGAGGGAAGAGUGGGACGGGCAACCGUUCGGACGGUACCUCCAGAGCAGCCACGGCUAACUUCGUGCCAGCCGCCGCGGUAA